rnacentral:tRNA from 1 species
GCGCCCGUAGCUCAGCCCGGAUAGAGCGGCGGUUUCCUAAACCGCAGGUCGCAGGUUCGAGUCCUGCCGGGCGCG